rnacentral:lncRNA from 13 species
AAAAUUGGCAAUGGAGUGUGCAGCACAUUGGGCUGCGAUGGGAGCUGGAUCAGAGUGAUGUGAGUUUUCUUUGCUCAGUUAUUAAUAAUGAAAUUACUUUCGUAUAUAGGAAGCAUUCACUUCCGACUUAAUUUUUGUUUGGUCUGUCUGCCACCCCCGGCCAAACAAACGUGACAGCUCUAACGGCUAAUUGCUAGCUAGUGCCAGUGGAUCCUAUUGAUUCCUCCUCCUAACAUUUCAAACAACUUGAAUCACACGUGGAAAUUCGAUGGAGAUGGUGUGUUGCAUUAGAGGGUAACACAGUACCCCUGUCUUCCUGUAGUAUGGUGGCUAACUGUGGUGGUGAGCCCCUUUCUGAUGUCAUACUGUACUCUUCCAGAGGGGCUGGGACGUCUCUUCUGAUGCUGCCUCUUGUCUAGUGAGGUGGUGACAAGGGGGAAAUUGGUUGGUCGAUUAGAAGAGGAGCAAAAGUUCAAUCGUGCCAAAAGUGUGUUCACUUUGAAGAAAAAAAACAGCUCCAAUAGAUGUAAUUAAAUCUCAGGUUUAAAAAGCAAAGGCAGCAUUUGUUUAAAGGAAUCGAUAAUGGCGGAUUGACGAGACAAAGGAGAAUGAUUCAUCAACAUGGAGGCAAGAUGGACCACUUAAGCAAACACGCCAUGCAUUAACACAUCAAAGGAAUUGCACUGAGACCAAAGACGUAGGCAUGACAAUCCACAUAACGACAAGGACGACUACCAAGGCGUUUCAACCUCAGGGCAGAAAACCAGUCGACUCAGCAGCUUUGAAGAACUUCAGAAGAUGCAAUGUCAUUUAUACCUAAUGAUUAUGACUGAAACUAAUGAUAACUCCACAAGGAUAAUUCAUAAUAAUUUAAUUAUUCCUAAAAAAAUACUGCAAGCUAAAUUACUAAUGUAACGUCAGCUUUUUGGUACCAUUCAAAAUGGCUGAUAUACUACUGUCCUCUAGUGGUUGGAAGCUCACUGUGCGAGUCAAAUAAGCAAAUAUCUGAGAUUUGAAAGACUAAAAAUAGUAGUAUUAGUGACCGUGCCAAGGAUGAGAGCACCGGCAAAAAUAGCAGAGCUCCAACGGCAAUGCUGACUUUAUAUUUUCAAAUGUUAUCAAUCUCAAUUAUCUCUCUGCAGACCAAAUGCUCUAACGCAUAGAGGUUGUAUUGAACAUUUAGUACACUUUGUGAAAAUAAUUGCUUUCUUCUUGAUGAAGGUACUUACACGGAACCCAAAGCGGCUGCGCACAUGCGCCAUCGUGCGCUAUCGUGCAUAAAUGUAUUUUGUCCCCCUACACCAAACGCGAUCACGACACACAGGUUAAAAUAUCAAAACAAACUCUGAACCAAUGACAUUAAUUUGAGGACAGGUCGAAAAGCAUUAAACAUGUACGGCAAUUUAGCUAGUUAACUUGCACUUGCUAGCUAAUUUGUCCUAUUUAGCUAGCUUGCUGUUGCUAGCAAAUUUGUCCUGGGAUAUAAACAUUGAGUUGUUAUUUUACCUCAAAUGCUCAAGGUCCUCUACUCCGACAAUUAAUUCACACAUAAAACAGUCAACUAAAUCGUUUCUAGUCAUCUCUCCUCCUUCCAUGCUUUUUCAUCUUUGAACGUAUAUAGUGAUUGGCAUCUACACUUUCAUAGUAUUACCACGACAACCGGCAAAACAGUUAGUCUAUCAAUCACCCAUGUGGGUAUAACCAAUGAGAAGAUGGCACGUGGGUACCUGCUUCUAUAAACCAAUGAGGAGACGGGAGAGGCAGAACUUGCAGCGUGAUCUGCGUCAGAAAUAGGAAUGACUUCUAUUUUAGCCCUUGGCAACACAAACGCUCGUUGGCGCGCACGAGCAGUGUGGGUGCAAUAAUUGAAUAACAUAGAUUCCUACAUUUAUUUUGCAACGCUCGCACAUGCGACGCGAGCGGUGUCGUCAGGGUAUUACACUCAU